CUGAGUGGGGAGGAGAGAGGGACAGAAAGCCUGCUUGCUUUAAAGGAGCAAAGCAGGAGAGGAGAGGUUGGCUCCUUUAAAGCAAGAAGGCUCUCUGUCCCUCUCUCCUCGGUUGGCUCCUUUAAAGCAAGAAGGCUCUCUGUCCCUCUCUCCUCCCCACUCAGC